UGAAAACUUGAAAGGACCAUCUUCCAUUUAAAAGCCUCUUGUGUUUCAUCACUGCUUCUUCCAUCUUUUUCUCAUCAAAGAAAAUCAGAUUAAGGAAGGAAAGAUGGGAUAGCUGUGUAAUGCCUUUUGAUUCACAGCACUGGGAGCCAUCCUUAGAUGGCUGAAAGUGCUACAAGAAAUGAGGCAGGUAAUUCAUAUGGAUAUUUGUGUACAGGUGAACACCUCUGAUUGAUUCCUGGAAAAUCACCAUGGAUCCCAUCCUGGGAGAAAUGUGAGGGCAAGAAACAAAAAGUUACAUGGAGGAAAGAAAAGUAGACAUGGAAUUCAAGUGUCAAACAUUUCAAGUGAGAGUAAUAUUGUGAAUGCAGUCAUGCAAAGAAUCCAUACAAAGUUCCCAUGAAGCUGGUCUCCUAUACAGAACUUGAUCAAUCUCUGAGCAGGUUACCUUCAUUAAAUUACAGCUGCUACAUCAUGCACCUUCAAAACCAUGCCUUGGCCAGCUGUAGUAUUUUAAAAUGAAACUCAACUAUACAAUAUCCCAAACUCUCAGAACUGAACCAAUUUUUAAAUGAUUUAAUUCACUGGUUCAUAUUUAGUAAGCUGCUUCUUACAAUGAAAUCACUUCAUUACUUUCCCACAGAUGCCACAAAGAACUCCAGAUGAUUAAAUUUUACAUUUUCUGGAUUCUAGCCAUCAAAGUAAACGGUCAGUAGCUUUAUUUCUGUACGUCAAGAAGCUCUAAGGAGCUUUUUCCUGGCAGCUGCUCACCACAACAGGAUAUUCUGGUCCUUUAAAUGAAGCUGGUGUCUACCCACAAUUGAAUCUGUUCAGAUCAGAGGGAAAAUAUUCUAGGAGACAUCGAUUCAGGAUGACCCAUGAGAGUCUUAAAAUAGACAGCAAGAACAGUUUGUAGAAAGACAGACCAGUCAGGUAACACUGCUCCCACUUUCCUCAUAACAGAGAGAUGAUAGAAGCAGUAGAAACAACAGAUUCCAGAGGAACAGAAAUGUUCUCACUCAAUGCAGCACAGAGCGGUUGCUUAGGAAUAAGAUCAGGAAGCAUUUCAUACAACAAGAUGUUGAAAUAAACCCUUUUGCAGUCAAG